AUACUUACCUCGCAGGGGAGAUACCAUGAUCAGGAAGCUGGUUUUCCCAGGGCAAAGCUUAUUCAUUGCCCUCCGGAUGUGCUCAUCCCUGCUAAUUCCCCAAAUGUGGGAAACUGGACUGCAUAAUUUGUGGUAGUGGGGAACUGCGCUCAUGCUCAAA